rnacentral:rRNA from 1 species
CUACGGGUUGCUGCAGUGAGGAAUAUUGCGCAAUGGGGGAAACCCUGACGCAGCGACGCCGCGUGGAUGAUGAAGGCCUUCGGGUCGUAAAAUCCUGUCAGAAGGAAAGAAGUGUAUGGUAGCUAAUAUCUGCCAUACUUGACGGUACCUUCAAAGGAAGCACCGGCUAACUCCGUGCCAGCAGCCGCGGUAAUACGGAGGGUGCAAGCGUUGUUCGGAAUUACUGGGCGUGAAAGCGCGCGUAGGCGGUUUUAUAAGUCAGAUGUGAAAGUCCACGGCUCAACCAUGGAAGUGCAUUUGAAACUGUAAGACUUGAGAAUUGGAGGGGGUAGUGGAAUUCCCGGUGUAGAGGUGAAAUUCGUAGAUAUCGGGAGGAAUACCGGUGGCGAAGGCGACUAUCUGGCCAAAUACUGACGCUGAGGUGCGAAAGCGUGGGGAGCAAACAGGAUUAGAUACCCUCGUAGUC